rnacentral:rRNA from 1 species
UUAAUACUGGAUAGAUCAAAGAUACUGGAGUGUUCUCUGGUCUAAAGCUCCGGCGCCCAAGGAUGGGUCUGCGGCCUAUCAGGUAGUAGUGGGUGUAGCGUACCUACUAGCCUGCGACGGGUACGGGUUGUGAGAGCAAGAUCCCGGAGAUGGAUUCUGAGACAUGAAUCCAGGCCCUACGGGGUGCAGCAGGCGCGAAACCUUUACACUGCGGGAAACCGCGAUAAGGGGACCCCGAGUGCCAGCACCUAGUGCUGGCUGUCCCGCUGUCCAAACAACAGCGGUUAGCAAGGGCCGGGCAAGACCGGUGCCAGCCGCCGCGGUAACACCGGCGGCCCGAGUGGUAGCCGCUAUUAUUGGGUUUAAAGGGUCCGUAGCCGGCCUGUUAAGUCUCUUGGGAAAUCUGGCGGCUCAAUCGUCAGGCGUUCA